GAUGAACGCUGGCGGCAUGCUUAACACAUGCCAGUCGAACGGGAAGUGGUGUUUCCAGUGGCGAACGGGUGAGUAACGCGUAAGAACCUGCCCUUGGGAGGGGAACAACAACUGGAAACGGUUGCUAAUACCCCGUAGGCUGAGGAGCAAAAGGAGAAAUCCGCCCAAGGAGGGGCUCGCGUCUGAUUAGCUAGUUGGUGAGGUAAUAGCUUACCAAGGCGAUGAUCAGUAGCUGGUCCGAGAGGAUGAUCAGCCACACUGGGACUGAGACACGGCCCAGACUCCUACGGGAGGCAGCAGUGGGGAAUUUUCCGCAAUGGGCGAAAGCCUGACGGAGCAAUGCCGCGUGGAGGUGGAAGGCCUACGGGUCGUCAACUUCUUUUCUCGGAGAAGAAACAAUGACGGUAUCUGAGGAAUAAGCAUCGGCUAACUCUGU
rnacentral:rRNA from 1 species